UUAGAAUUCUCUUGCUUAGCCUGCCACUGG
rnacentral:piRNA from 1 species